UACAGAGGGGGCAAGCGUUAUUCGGAAUUAUUGGGCGUAAAGGGCGCGUAGGCGGCCUUGCAAGUGACGGGUGAAAUCCCUCGGCUUAACCGAGGAACUGCCUGUCAAACUGCGUGGCUUGAGACCAGGAGAGGUGAGUGGAAUUCCCAGUGUAGCGGUGAAAUGCGUAGAUAUGAUGUAGAACACCGAUUGCGAAGGCAGCUCACUAAGCAGACAUUGACGCUGAGGCACGAAAGCGUGGGGAUCAAACAGG
rnacentral:rRNA from 1 species